rnacentral:misc_RNA from 1 species
GAUGAAGAACGCAGCGAAACGCGAUAUGUAAUGUGAAUUGCAGAAUUCAGUGAAUCAUCGAAUCUUUGAACGCACAUGGCGCCUUCCAGUAUCCUGGGAGGCAUGCCUUUCCGAGCGUCGUUUCAACCCUCGAGCCCCCGUGGCCCGGCGUUGGGGAUCUGCCACGGCAGGCCCCUAAAACCAGUGGCGGACCCGAAGGCCCUCUCCUUUGCGCAGUAGCAUCAGCCUCGCAUUGGGAUCCCUCGGCGUCCUGCCUCUAAACCCCCCACAAGUCCGCUCCGGCGGCACCAAGGUUGACCUCGGAUCAGGUAGGAAUACCCGCUGAACUUAAGCAUAUCAAUAAGCGGAGGA